rnacentral:rRNA from 1 species
UGAGGAAUAUUGGUCAAUGGACGCAAGUCUGAACCAGCCAAGUAGCGUGCAGGAUGACGGCCCUAUGGGUUGUAAACUGCUUUUAUAUGGGGAUAAAGUGGGGAACGUGUUCCCUUUUGCAGGUACCAUAUGAAUAAGGACCGGCUAAUUCCGUGCCAGCAGCCGCGGUAAUACGGAAGGUUCGGGCGUUAUCCGGAUUUAUUGGGUUUAAAGGGAGCGUAGGCCGUUUGGUAAGCGUGUUGUGAAAUGUAGGAGCUCAACUUCUAGAUUGCAGCGCGAACUGUCAGACUUGAGUGCGCACAACGUAGGCGGAAUUCAUGGUGUGGAGGUGAAAUGCUUAGAUAUCAUGAAGAACUCCGAUUGCGAAGGCGGCUUACGGGAGCGCAACUAACGCUAAAGCUCGAAGGUGCGGGUAUCGAACAGG